GAGGGUAUAGCUCAGUGGUAGAACAUGUGCUUAGCAUGCACGAGGUCCUGGGUUCAAGUCCCAGUACUCCCA
rnacentral:tRNA from 1 species